GACUGUUCGGUGCCUCGAUCACCCUAACUCGCGUGUCUGGAUGAGAGAAUGAGGUUGGGACUUGGAGGUGUCCUUGUCGCUACCGUGGGCAAGCGGUUCUCAAGGUGCUCAUAAGAUAUGCCAGGCUCAACUGGGGAACUCCUUCCGUUUGAUUUCAUCACGGUUACCUAGAGCCUCACACUUUAAUAGCAAUGACUAUAUUUCUGAAUAGAUAUUUAACUUAUUUCAUUAAAGCGACUUGCGAAAUACGUUCACUAGAGAGAUCAACUUGAUGACAAGAAUUGUGUACUUAGAAAUAUAGUCAUCGCUAUUAAAAGAGUUGUUAUAAUUUAGCAUCUUAUGCCAUUUUUAAUGGUUCUCCGCUUUUGCGUUUUUCCAAAACAGGACUUUUAUAGGUAAAAUUAUACACCUGACAGUUUUGGUUUUGGGUGUGGCUAAUCAGACAAAAAAUAUAUACACAUAAGGCUAAGUAUCUUGAAUAAUCUUAUUUUGCUAAUUGUGUGUAUGUAAGCUUUCACACUUUAAACUAGAAAUUUGUUGAAAUGAUGUAUUCCAUCGAAUUUCUGAAACAAACAUUUACGUAUGACGUUGCUGUGGAUUUGAAAGCUGUAUCUCGUUAAGUAAUAUAUUUUUCCUGACAAAGAAAAUUGAGGAGAGCAUCAGUUCCCAGCACAUUAGGGACCAAAAGUGUUAAUUCCGUACUACGUGAAGGCAGAUAAAUAGCUUAUCUUCAUUUUCAUAAUUCAUGCCUGUGAUUAUGUUUCUUCCAAAGUUUCUUUGAAGUUUGUCGAAAUGUAUUUUUUUUUCAGAAAAAAAAAUCAGUUCAGUGUUAGGUAUCCAAGAGGACAUACGUAUGAAAAUUGACAACUAUGUACAUGAUACAGAAGUAUGCACAAAUCUGCAAGAUUCAUGCCGUGUUUCAUGAGAAGUGUAUCUUGUGUAUUACUUCCACCGAACUUUGUGUGUUAUAAACGAUGUUUAUAGAUGUUAUAAACAAUGGAGCCUUAAUUUCCAGGAAGUGUUUAAUUAGCAGAUGGUUUAAACUCGCUGAUGUUUGGCCGUCAUCAUUAUAUAUAACAAUUUGGAGAUAAAAUUGUAGUAUACAAUUUGAGAAAGAAUUUUAUUUGUGAAAAAAACCCCACAAUGAUGUGAUGUUUUGAAAAAACUUCUUUAGGGAAUAACAGGAGGUGGAGGGAACACUUUGUUUUGCCAUAUUCCCUAAGGUUUAUUCAUUAUUUGCUCUUUAAAUGGACAUUUUAGGUUUGUAAGAACUUUUUUUUUUCCUUUGAAGGUAAAAGGGAUGCAUUUUAAAGAUUCACGUCUUUUGUCCCCUCGUUUUUCUCCCCCGUCCCGACAACCCACCAGUCAUGUGUUACCACCCUCAUCUUUCUUCCUCUUCCUUCUUUCUUUAAAUUAAAAAGUGAUUUUUGUUUUUUAAAACGUGAGUUAGGGAUACGGCACUGGCAGUUACACAGAAUAACGUUUCUUUCUUUGGAUUAUUUUUGGGGAACUUGAGAAAAAAAACAAAACAAAACCCAAAAUAAUGCCACACAAAACAAAGUUAUAUCGUAAGUCACAAACUGUCACAGAAAUAUAUUUCAAAAAGAAGUAAACAUUUCUACUCUAAGACAUCCAUGGGACAGCUACCAUAAGGAUUGCAGUCAAUCGAAAGCAGGAAUAUACAUUUUAUUCAACACGUGGAGCUGUCUGCAGAUCCAUUCUUAAUCACGCAAAAACCCCUUUUAACACAGGUAAUGGAGAAAUAUAUGGGGGGGGAAGGGGACCCCCCCCCCCCCCCC